rnacentral:misc_RNA from 1 species
AAACUCCACAGCCAACUGAUCAUCUUUAUCAAAAGCCAAGUUCCCAACAUCCUUUUCCCUUUUCGUGAAAAAAAGUUUAAUAGCCUCAAUGAAGAUUCUGGAAUUUUCCAUAAGACUCCAUAUCUCCUGGGGAUUUUUCAUGCCUAGUGAUGCCAUAGCAGAAAUUAAGGAUUGGCCAUCAGUUGCACAGUUUUUGUCUGCAUUUCCA